AUUGAACGCUGGCGGCAGGCCUAACACAUGCAAGUCGAACGGUAACAGGAAGAAGCUUGCUUCUUUGCUGACGAGUGGCGGACGGGUGAGUAAUGUCUGGGAAACUGCCUGAUGGAGGGGGAUAACUACUGGAAACGGUAGCUAAUACCGCAUAACGUCGCAAGACCAAAGAGGGGGACCUUCGGGCCUCUUGCCAUCGGAUGCGCCCAGAUGGGUUUAGCUAGGAGGUGGGGUAACGGCUCACCUAGGCGACGAUCCCUAGCUGGUCUGAGAGGAUGGCCAGCCACACGGGAACGGAGACACGGACCAGGCGCCUACGGGAGGGAGCAGUGGGGAAUAUUGGACAAUGGGCGCAAGCCUGAUGCAGCGAUGCCGAGUGUGUGAAGAAGGCCUUCGGGUUGUAAAGUACUUUCAGCGGUGAGGAAGGGAGUAAAGUUAAUACCUUGGCUAAUUGACGUUACCCGCAGAAGAAGCACCGGCUAACUCCGUG
rnacentral:rRNA from 1 species